rnacentral:tmRNA from 1 species
UGGUGCAAUAAUAUCGGAAAUAGUGGGUAGCCGGCCUUGUGCCGCCCAUGAAAUUUUAAAGGCUAAGGUAUGAAUUGGUGGCUUCGGUCUUGUUCAUACCCGACAAUCAAAGCGAAGAUAAGCAUGUAGAAAGCUCAUUAGUUCCUCGUUUGGACGAGGGUUCGAAUCCCUCCAGCUCCACUU